GUGAGCCUACGGGAGGCAGCAGUGGGGAAUAUUGCACAAUGGGCGCAAGCCUGAUGCAGCCAUGCCGCGUGUAUGAAGAAGGCCUUCGGGCUGUAAAGUACUUUCAGCGGGGAGGAAGGGAGUAAAGUUAAUACCUUUGCUCAUUGACGUUACCCGCAGAAGAAGCACCGGCUAACUCCGUGCCAGCAGCCGCGGGAAUACGGAGGGUGCAAGCGUUAAUCGGAAUUACUGGGCGUAAAGCGCACGCAGGCGGGUUGUUAAGUCAGCUGGGAAAUCCC
rnacentral:rRNA from 1 species